rnacentral:lncRNA from 1 species
AAUAACUUAUAAACUUGUACAUAUCUUAAGCCCAGAUUUUCUCAGAGGGGGGCAACAAUUUUGCCAGGGAAGGCGGUAGAAUCCCUGUGAUGUUGUCCACUGUUCACCCCGUGUUCUUUUAAGCAAAUGUGCCUGCUCAAAAAUGCAAAAUCUUGCAAGCCUGUGGACACAAUACUGAAGUGAAGAGCGUCAGUAGAUUUACAUGUAGGAAUUAUUUUUUGAGCGCUCUCUUUUGCAUGAUUUUUUUUUCUCGAUUGUAUGCUGCAUGAUUUUUUUCUUUCUCCUUGGG